AUCCGCAGCGCUCGAGCCCGGGCACGUGCCCAGGUGGCCGGACGGUGAAAUCGCCCCUGCAGACGGGGUCGGCCCCGCGGCGCCGACGCGGGGCGACGUGUACCUGGGGCGGCAGCUCACGGCCAUGGCCGCGGCGGGCGCCCGCAUGCGUGCGCCGGAGGAGGACGCCGAGAGGCGCCGCCGCCGCAAGGAGAAGCGAAGGGCCCUGGCCAAGAAGACGCCCUCCGGCAUCGCCUGCUGCUAUGGCUGCGGCCAUGUCGAGCCCGCCACCUGCGACCUGGUAAGCAGGCGCAUCCACGGGCUCAGCUCGCUGCCAUUUUCAGUGUGUUCAUCGGCUUAUCAGAGCACGGACUAACAUUUGAUGGCUGAUGUAGUGUCUGCACUAGGAAAAUUCGAUGCCAAAUUACACCUGAUGGCUGAUGUACUGUCUGCACUACGAAAUGAAAUUCUAAAGUGACGAUUUGUUGUUGUUGCUGUUGCAGCCUGCAGACCUGUUGUGUUUGCUGCUGGGUCCGAAGUGCCCUGUGGUGUUAAAUUCAGAACAGAAGUGCAUGAUCCAAUUCAUUUUGAAUAACUGUUUAUUACAUCUGCAGAAACUAGUCAUAAGGAUAUUAUUAUAGGACUUGUUAUAUAGUCUUAAUGUGGUGCUUGUACUAAGCCAUUGCUAUGUGUCCUCCAUGUCACAGUUUGCUGGUGGGCAGAAGCAUAGACAACAGGAAGAACAGAGACGCAGCAUCUUCACUUCUUUCCUUGCAGAUUCCUGUUAAGGAAGCAAAGGUUGAGGCCUGGGAUCUACUCUAGAUGCUGUCGAGUUGCGAGCAUAUUUUGGGUAAGCAGCAGCAGAAUAGCAGAUUCAGCAGAAUAGCAUAUUUUCUUGAGUUACUCGAUGAAAUUCACAGGAGAGAGAGAGAGACAGACCACGAUCAACCACAACAAUGACACUGUUCACAGAAAUCUUGGAUUCAUAAAUGGGAGAAGCACAUAAGGGAGAAGAAGAUGAUUGCAAGGAUGGAGAGGGAGCAAAUCAUUUGGAGGAUAGAAUGCCACUGUUUGGUGUUUUUAUGCAUUUUUGUUUCCUUCAACUGUGUUUGCACUAGCUGGGAAUAAGUGACUAGGCAAUAAGUGUAGAUGUAUGGAUAUGCUCUAAUGCUUCUGGUUUACUAUAAAUCUUCGAUUUGGAAUAAUGUGUAAUGCUGCUGGUUUAUUACAAAUCUGGGCUUAUUUUA